AAUUUUCUUUUUUUUUCUCCAUGUGCAUUGACGUUUAGCAGAGGAGUUAUUUAAGUAUUUUAUGGUUUUAUAUUCUGUUUUUUUUUUUGGGAAUAGAUUCAGCUUGCAUUUAUUAUUAUUCUGGAUGGAAAAUGGUAAUUUGGUAUGGUGCACGGUAAUAGAAGNAGUUGCAGUGGAGAUUCAUUUUGUGAGAUGCUAAAUCAUUUUGGUUUUAAGAGAAACAGCUGGAAUUCUCUUUCUUUGCUAGAGUCAUAUUCCAUAUCAAUGGAAUUCUUUUUUUUUAUUCCAAAAAAAUGUUGAUUCACUUCCUUGAAGUUUAGGACGGUGACUAAUUUCUUUUUCCUGGAGCUGCUUCAUUUGUCUUUAGCAUAUGGGAUUUAAUUUUUUUUUAUUAUUUUUUUUGGUCUUAUGGCGGAAACGGUGAGGUGCUGCUGCAUCUUUAAUUACUUUAGUUGGAUAGGAAUUUUCAUUGCAUUCUAGUUAGUCACAACUAAUAAUGUGAUUUUUAGAAGCACCGAUAUUGUUUUUUCUUUUUUUUCUUUUUUUUUUCUUUCUUUCUUUUUCUUUUUUUAGUGACUUAUCUUUAAUUUCUAUUUUAAUUUUAUUCUUCACUUUAAUGUUUUUAACUGAACUAGUUAGAUUUAAUUUGCGUGUUUUAAUUUAGUCUUAUUGCAUUCAUAAAACACUUUCAACCCCCCCCCCCACUAUGUGUGUUAGACCUAAAUUUCGAACCACAUUUGGUCCUUGAGAGACGACCUAGGAGUCACUUCCUAGUCUAUACUGCAUUUCUCUUAUGCUCAUUAAAUUUGCAUGGGGUGCGACACUCAUCAACCUACUUAUCUUAUUUCUAUUUUUCUAUCGUUAUCUACUUUUAAAUAAAAAUCAAAUAAAAAAAAUAUUUUGAAAAGGUUUAAGCACACGUGCGAUCGCUCGC
rnacentral:lncRNA from 1 species